CUGGUUGAUCCUGCCAGACCCGACUGCUAUCGGAUUGGGACUAAGCCAUGCGAGUCAACUCCGCAAGGGGUGGCGCACGGCUCAGUAACACGUAGUCAACCUACCCUGGGGACGGGGAUAACCUCGGGAAACUGAGGCUAAACCCCGAUGGGCCAUGGCUCCUGGAAUGGGCUAUGGCUGAAAUCUACAUGGCCCCAGGAUGGGACUGCGGCCGAUCAGGUUGUUGGUGGGGUAAUGGCCCACCAAGCCUAUAACCGGUGCGGGCUCUGAGAGGAGGAGCCCGGAGAUAGGCACUGAGACAAGGGCCCAGGUCCUAUGGGGCGCAGCGGGCGCGAAACCUCCGCAAUGGGCGAAAGCCCGACGGGGUCAGUCCGAGUGGUUCCCGCUGAGGGAACCUUUUGCCAGCUGUAAACAGGCUGGCGAAUAAGGGGUGGGCAAGUUUGGUGUCAGCCGCCGCGGUAAUACCAGCACCCCGAGUGGUCGGGACGAUUAUUGGGCCUAAAGCAUCCGUAGCCGGCCCAGUAAGUCCUCCGUUAAAUCCAACGGCUCAACCGUUGGGCUGCGGGGGAUACUGCUGGGCUAGGGGACGGGAGAGGCGAGGGGUAUUCCCGGGGUAGGGGUAAAGUCCACUGAUCCCGGGAGGACCACCAGUGGCGAAGGCGCCUCGCUAGAACGUGCCCGACGGUGAGGGAUGAAAGCUGGGGGAGCGAACCGGAUUAGAUACCCGGGUAGUCCCAGCCGUAAACGAUGUAGGCUCGGUGUUGGGCUGCCUCAGUGGCAGCCCAGUGCCUCAGGGAAGCCGUUAAGCCUACCGCCUGGGGAGUACGGCCGCAAGGCUGAAACUUAAAGGAAUUGGCGGGGGAGCACCAC
rnacentral:rRNA from 1 species